GGCUCCAUGGCCCAAUGGUGGGGCAGCGGAUUCCAAAUCCGAAGGUUGUGGGUUCAAGUCCCACUGGGGUCA
rnacentral:tRNA from 1 species